rnacentral:rRNA from 1 species
UACAGAGGUCUCGAGCGUUGUUCGGAUUCAUUGGGCGUAAAGGGUGCGUAGGUGGUCUGGUAAGUCGGAUGUGAAAUCCCGGAGCUUAACUUCGGAACUGCAUUCGAUACUGCCGGACUGGAGUACUGGAGAGGAGAUCGGAAUUUACGGUGUAGCAGUGAAAUGCGUAGAUAUCGUAAGGAAGACCAGUGGCGAAGGCGGAUCUCUGGACAGUUCCUGACACUGGAGGCAGCGAAAGGCCAGGGAGCAAACGGG